GUAUCGUAUAUGUGUAUGUAUGUGCUACAACUGUGGCUUCUUUAAUAAGAUCAACUAGCCUAUUUCCUCCUAAUCUACAAUAUCGUACUUACUGUUGGAAGGAAAAUAAAUAAAUGUUUACAAAAUUUCUAAGUCACCAUUAAUUAAAAUAUAAAUUGAAGGUUAUUUUGUAUGUAUAAUCAAAGGCCGAAGAUAUACAGAUAUGUGUGCGUGUGCAUGCGUGCGUCGCGUGCAUGUAUGUAUAUAAUGCAUUAAGCAAUAUAUCUAUGACAUUACUUUUCAUAUUCCAAAGUAAAAGAAUUAUAUAUGUAUAGCUGAUAUUUAUCAGUGAAUCGUGUUGCUGUAACUUCAGGACUGUUUACAAAUGUUGUACGCACAACAAGUAAUAAUGGAUUCAAUUUACUAUGUUUUAAAAAAUAUACUUUCUGUGAUGAAGAAUUUACAUAGGUUGCUUUAUACAAUUUAUUCCCCAAAUUACCAAAUAAAAAUAUUAUAGCAUAAGUGGAAAAUAAUCUCGUUUACAAAUUAAAGUAAUUAAUCAGUUUUACCUUAGAAUAUCUAUUUUAUAUAAUAAAUUCACUACCGAACAGCAAAUACAUGUAUGUAUCGAAUGAUACAUAAAUAGUACCUUUUAGUAAUAUAAUAUUUAAUUGCUAGCAUGGAACUGUAUUAUUACUUGACUUUUAUGUUUAUUAAUAAGACAUGUGAAAUAGAGCCUGCGAAGUGAUAGCACACUUCAACUAUCGUCUAGAUUUCUUAAUUUUCCUUGAAUUGUGCAAAUAUAAUGUAUAGACACAGGCAGUUAUCGUUAACAAUAUCACAGAUAUUCGUUAUAAAAAUGAGAUUGCAACAAAAAUUAAACAACGGAGAAAUUCAAAAUACAAAACUGUUGUUGGAUAGUUAUAAUAUGAAAAAAGAGCAAACACUUCUAUAGCUUCUACAUACUGUAAUGAAUUUAUAUUUCAUAACAUGUGUAAUUAUUCAGAAAUUGAAGAGAAACAUUAAGAUUGAAAAAGAAACUUGGAUUAGUAGUAAAAUGUAUGAGGGAUCAAAUAAACCUUAUAAUAAAUACAUAACAUGUACAGUAAAAUAAAAAGUUACAAAAGAUAUCUUGUAUUAAUCUACGAGAGAUAAUUCAGAUGACUUGGAUUAUUACUAUUAACACAUAUAAAAAAGAGGAUUUUGAUUAUGGAAGAACAGUGUCAAAUGGGUAAAGGUAGUGUUAUGUUUUGGACGAGUCUGUGAUGAAAAAACUGAUACAGUAUUAAUUCAAAGACAAAAUAAAUAGCAUCAUUUAUCAUAAUUUGAUACGAAAAAAAUAUUGUUUUCCAACACCAUGAUACUAUAAUUUCUAUGUCGACAUCGUGAAUCCCUAUCAAAUAUUAGAGCUUCGUACUCAUAUAUGUAACUUGCUACUAGCAAUAAAUCGAAGCUUUAUUUGAUGCUUA